rnacentral:misc_RNA from 1 species
AACGCAUAUUGCACUCUCUGGUAUUCCGGAGAGUAUGCCUGUUUGAGGGUCGUUCGAAUAAAAAUCGACGUUUUUUCGUCGGAAUUGGGUUUUUCUUUUUAACCUUGGGUUUUAAAGUAACCUAAAAUUGUUGAAUUUUUCGAUGAACUCAUCUGAAUUUUUUUUAUUUUGUGGGUUUGUCUUAAAACGAGCAUUGGACGCGAUCAUUUUUCGUGGUUAUCGCGUUCAUGAUUUUUUUCAUAAUUCGACCUCAAAUCAGGUAAGAGUACCCGCUGAACUUAA